GAGUUUGAUCCUGGCUCAGGAUGAACGCUGGCGGCGUGCCUAAUACAUGCAAGUCGAGCGAACAGAUAAGGAGCUUGCUCCUUUGAAGUUAGCGGCGGACGGGUGAGUAACACGUGGGUAACCUACCUAUAAGACUGGGAUAACUUCGGGAAACCGGAGCUAAUACCGGAUAACAUUUAGAACCGCAUGGUUCUAAGUGAAAGAUGGUUUUGCUAUCACUUAUAGAUGGACCCGCGCCGUAUUAGCUAGUUGGUAAGGUAACGGCUUACCAAGGCGACGAUACGUAGCCGACCUGAGAGGGUGAUCGGCCACACUGGAACUGAGACACGGUCCAGACUCCUACGGGAGGCAGCAGUAGGGAAUCUUCCGCAAUGGGCGAAAGCCUGACGGAGCAACGCCGCGUGAGUGAUGAAGGGUCUCGGCUCGUAAAACUCUGUUAUUAGGGAAGAACAAAUGUGUAAGUAACUGUGCACAUCUUGACGGUACCUAAUCAG
rnacentral:rRNA from 1 species